rnacentral:misc_RNA from 1 species
GGAAUUCUCUCAAAACAGAAAUAGGUAACGUCAAAAGUGUAAUGAAUGAUGCCACACGAGAAGCAUCAUAUGGCUCUGACGCAACACGGCGGCUGAAGUAAUCACAUAUUUCUCCUAUUUCUGACUGAGUUAAUUCCUCUUGCGCACUUCCGGGAUUUUGCUGCUGCUGCUGUUGCGACUGAUGAAACCUCUUGACACUAAUAACUUGCAAGAGAAGUUGAAC